GUUUCAUUCCUUGGGAUAUUGAAUUCAUCUAACCUUCUUAUUUGAAUGGAGCUAUAUAUGAUUGCUUGGAAUCCAUGUAUACUCUUGCUUUCAUUUCAUUCCAAAUCUGAAUACAUUUGUGAGAGAUUGUUGCUUGCAUCGUAUUGACUCGUAAAGGCACAUGUACAUUUUGUUGUUCCGCGUGUGCUUCUGAUAUAUGCUAUUUAUUGUUCAUACUGCCUUUUGUACUCUGGUGUUGUGGGAUAAUGUGAACCUUUGCCAGAAAUGGUAAAGGGAGUUAUGCAUAGAGCCUGCGAUGCUCUGCCGGCCCCCUCUGACUUCACCUAGACGUGGGUGGAUGGAGCUCCCAGACGUGGGAGACUUUUGUCAGGUGGUCAUUCAGAAAUGGAUGAAUCACAUUCUAUCUGUGGUCCCACUACACC
rnacentral:lncRNA from 1 species